GGGUGGGGGCGGGGCAGCGGCCUGAGGCGGCGGCGGCCGCCGCGGCGGAGCUCGGGCCGUGCCCGCGCCGCCGGACGGGGCUGUGGGGGCUGCCCGCGCUCCCUCCCUCCCUGUCCCUCCCUGCUCGCCUUCCCGCCUGGCCCAACCUCGGCAGGUCCCUUGGCAGGCUCCCGGGGAAGGAUUGCCCGCAAAGGUAGAGGAUCGAAGUUUGCACCCCCGCCGCCGGUGGCGGAGUUUGGCCGGGGCGGCAGCCGGGCUCGGCUCCCGGCGCGCUGUCCUGGCCGCCGCUUCCCUCACCUUUGGAACUGCUCGGCGCCGGGGAAAACAAACCAUAAUAACGCCAAGCGCAGCUGCCGAAGCCUCCGGUUCCCUGGAAUACACCCUCCUUAAAAUAUGACAGCUGAUCCAUUUGGAAACUCACCAAAGGACAGGUCUCUUCCCACUCCCCCGCCAGCCCUUCUACCCGACUGCAAGCUCAAAGUUCUAAAACCAGAAGAAACUGGAGUGUAAAUAUUUCCCCAGUGCAAACCCCAAUAAUCUUUGCUGUGAGCUGACAGGAAUUGCUGUUCCACUGCCCUGGGAUAUCCUGGCUUGAGGUGAGAGCGCAGCCACGCCCAGAGCCCCCAGCCACUCUCCGAGCUUUGGUACCAUCUGUUUGUGCAUGUCCCUGUGGCAGAAGCUCCCACGACAUCUGCCGUGGAGCUGGUACAGCUGCUGCACAAAACAAGGCAUUCUCCAGCCUGCCUUCCCCCACCCCCGACCGCCCCAGCCCAUCUUUCAUUUCUCUGCUUCCUUUUUCUGCCUCUGCUCCCCCUCCGCUCCCUUCACUCUGGCAUUUUUAUUAGGAAUGUUAUUGCUGUUCUUACUGUCCAGGCAUAAGCUGAUCCACAGAGGAGCCUGUGUAAUUUAAUCCCUCAAGCACUAAAUUCCUUCCCCUGUGCCAAGGACACAGGUUUGUUGUUGCCUCCAGCAAUAUCCCAGGCAGAGGAGCUGUGGCGGUGUCACAUCAUCACCCAACGACUUCAUCUACUGCGGCACCAGGAACAGGGGACUGACGAGAUUUACAGAACAUGCUCUCUGCCUGAAUACAAAAUGGUAUCACCUUUACCAGCAAACUCAAGUCACAGGAAACAAAGUGAAACAAAUUUUGCCCUCUUAGGGCUCAUUGUUUCCGUGACUCUGCUUUAUCUCAUCCACCCCCACGUUACUUGUCCCCCUUGACAUCCAGCUAUACAAUACUUUUUCAAUAUUUUGGUUCUCCCUCCUUUGUUCUUCUCAUGUCCUCUGAUUAACAAACAGCCAGUUCAUGUUGAACUGCCAAGUAACAUAGCCUUGGAAAUCUUUUAUCCAUGCAUGGGAAGACUGGAAUCAUCACUUACAUCAGGGUUAUCUCUACAUGCUGUCUUUGUGUCGUCUGACAUUUGAUGCAUGUUUUUUAAAAUAAUAGAUGAAAGAGGUUGCACUUUUUAAAGGUGCAAGGAACACUCAAUUCAACCCUCACAGUUGAAUAAAUAACACUACAAUAAAUACUGACAUCAGAAAAGCAUCUAUUUUAAGUCCUGAAAACCAGAAAAGGGACUUUCCACAUGGGUGUCCUGUCAUCCAGAACUAUUAGGGAAGAAUUCAAUCUAAUAAAGAAGCAUACAAGUGUUCUCUCCAAGAUCGAGGUGAGAUUCUCUAUCUUCUGACAUUUCACUGACCUAGGAAGCAAGAAUUUGGCACAGAAUUAAUACUGGAGAAAAAUGAGACCAGUGAAACCUCCUGAGCUCAGGAGAACCUGACUGUGCUGGGGAAUCAGAGCUUUCACCCUGGGAAAUGAACUGCUCUGAAACAGUGGGAAGAAACCAGGAACAAAGGCUGAGUUCAAAUGCUCAAGAGUUAACAAGCCCUUCCUCACCAAAAGGUCUGAGCUCCCCUUAACUCAUCUCUAGACAUCCAUGGAAAUAAAAUUUAGAUGGUUUUUCCAGGGCUGAACGAGCUCAUUCAGAGAUGAAGGACUGGGACUUUUGUGGACACUUGUGCUGGUUUCUUCAGACACUUGUGUUCCUUCAGAGAGCCCCUGGAAAUACUCACUGCGAGUGCCACCAGUGCCUGGGUCCUGUCUGCAGCAGGAUUGCAGUGGGACGGGAGAAAUGCUUUUCUGAGCCUCUGGGCUGGACACAGGCACAGCCUGACCCUGAACCCAAGGGAAACAAAGACAAAUUCCAUGGCUUUAGAUGGAGCAAGGUUGGGGGGGGGUCCCGAGGGCAUCACUACCCCAGACUGUUUUGUGUGUGUGUGAGACAGGCAGAACCACAAAUGCCUGCACACCUCAGAGCAGUCAGUGUGUUGCUGUGCUUGCUGCUGCAGAGAC